ensembl:miRNA microRNA 153-2
AGCGGUGGCCAGUGUCAUUUUUGUGACGUUGCAGCUAGUGAUAUGAAGCCCAGUUGCAUAGUCACAAAAGUGAUCAUUGGAGACUGUG